rnacentral:rRNA from 1 species
UGAGUAACACGUAUGCAACCUGCCUGCCACAGCCGGAUAAUCGGGAGAAAUUCCGUCUAAUACGGCAUAAUGCAUCGACGGGACAUCCUGUUGGUGCCAAAGGUUAAUUCCGGUGGCGGAUGGGCAUGCGUCGCAUUAGUUAGUUGGCGGUGUAACGGACCACCAAGACGACGAUGCGUAGGGGUUCUGAGAGGAAGGUCCCCCACAUUGGAACUGAGACACGGUCCAAACUCCUACGGAAGGCAGCAG